CUCUUCUCUUCUUUCCAAUUUUUUGGUGUACGUCUCUUCUUGGCCUUGCGCUGUUUGGGUGAAGCUACGUGUAACAGAACCACGUGCAAUCUCAACCGAUUGCCCAGCCAACCCAAGCCCACCAUCUCUCCCUCUUAGAAUUUUAUUGUGUUUCGGUGGAUCAAAGUUGCAAUCAAACGAUUCUCUCUCUUGAUGUGCUCCCAAUGAACCCAAGCACAAAAUAAAUUAUCGACCAACAACGCUGCCUGUUAAGCAAAGAUUUUUAUGUUGUCCAAAGAAUUCAAUAUGGCGAUGACUGAUUCUACAAAUCAUAUCUACUUUGUAUAUGAUUUCAAAUUCAUCUCAAACUGCACAGAUUGUUAAAAACCUUAGAUUUCUUUUUGCACAUCAACCUAUCAUGGCUUCCAAUUUCGUUUGUGUGUGUGUGUGUGUUCUUUCUAUUCGGAUUUGUGUGUGUGUGAUUUGAAUUUUUAUCUUUACUUUGCUUUUUUGCAAAACCUGGGAAUUUGAAUAUGCCUAAUUUGUAUAUUUUGUUUUGUGUUUCUUCAAUUCGAGAAUUAAACACACCCAUCUCUCUGUAUAUUCUGGUUUAGUGUGUGUCUCUUUGAAUAUGCCUAAUUUGUACAUGCCUAAUGGGUUUAGUGUUUGUUUUUGUGUUUUGCGUGUGUAAAUUUUGGAUUUAGUAUUUUGUUUUGGGUAGUGAUUUCAUUUGAAAUUGAUCCUUAGGGAGCUUAGGGAAUGACCUAGUAAUUUUUAAAAUGUCUGCCUUAUUUUAUUACUUUUGGUAUCUUGCUUUCUCUUUAUCUGGUUCAUUACAAUUCAAGUUUUUUUUUCAUGUUACAGGUUGCUAUUUUUUGGCAGUACAAUGAAAUUCUCGGCAAAGGAGCUUUUAAAUACAGUGUGAACCUCAUUUCCUCAUAUUGUUUUGAGCUUUCAUUGUGCAUAAUAUUUUCCUAACUUAAAUAUAUAUAUAUAUAUAUUGGUUUGUUCUUUGUGUAGUUUUAGAGCAUUUGAUGACUAUGAAGGGAUUGAAUUACAGUGGAAUCAGGUAAUGGAUUUAAAUUUUGUGCCAGCUAAAGAAAGCAAGAAUGGCAUUUCUACCAAUCAUUGCUUCAAUCACUCAGUUGGUCAUCUCCCUCAUAUUCAAAAGUGGAAGUUUGAAGAGGUAAUGAUGAUGAAAACGUGGCAAUAGGGCUACUUCAUGAUUCGAAAGGCUAUACAAAAUGAACGGUUUGAAUCAUCGAAACGAGACCUGUGGUGGGCCCUAUAGGCAUUUCAAGUUCUGUCAUAUCGAGAUCUUAACAAUAGAGAAAUCCAACCCCAUGAUUAUUGCCAAUGAAGUAAGGGGAGGAGAUUAAUAACAUCGAAAUAUUUUGACUGAGAUCUGAAUUCAUAUUGAGUUUUCUGUAUGGCUUUUAUUUCUAUAGCCCUACUACAACUUCAUGUUUCGACACACCUAAUAGUAUUUUUUUUUUUUUGUUGAAUUACAAAUACACCUUCUCAGAUUAUUCUAAAAUAUAAAUUUGUCUCUCAAGUUUUGAAAAAUUUUGCUACUUCAGAUUUCAAAUUACAUAACGAAUACCCACAUCUGUUAGCAAUUGUUAGGUCAACUAACUGAUUUUGUUAAUAUCAUCAAUUUUGUUUCUUACAUUUUUUAUCCAUAAUACUUUUUUCUUUUUUUGCAAUAGGGAAAAAAAUCUCAAUCACCCCAUAGCCCACAGACUGUUUCCUUCUAUCCCUCUUCACUCUCCAGCCAUCUCUUAUCUCUAUUUCUUCUCAUUUCCUUUCCCAAUUCGUUUUAUCUUUCUCUCUCUAUCUGUUACCCCACUUUGUCUAUUUUUUCUUGCAUUUUUGUCUUAUUCCUGUUCCCAAUCCCUCAGGUCAAAACAGAGCACUACAUAGCCUCAAGGGAGUAUUUGUCAAAUUUUGAUGCUAACACUGUUAAAAGUCGAACUUUGAAAAGAGGGUAUUUGUAAUUUCUCAAAUUAGAGGGAGGAAUUUGUAUUUUAGACAAAUCUUAACGAUGUGUUUAGUUGGGGAUAUGGGAAGGGAUUUGAAAAGGGAAAAGGAAAAUGUGUGUGAAACUAAGUAAAAUGUAUUAAUAUAUUAUUCACAUUUCAUCUACUUUGUCCUUUUCUUUUCCAAAUACUUUCCCAAAUCUCCUGUCCAAAAACAACGUAAAAGUGUAUGUGUAAUUCACCCUAUAUUUUUAUGUUAUCUUUCUGCUGCCCCCAUCCACUUCUUGUUUAUAAAGGCUAGUAAAUCCCUCUGCUGAGAGUGAUCAAAAACAGGAAAUCUAACGAUGCUGGAGUCUAGUAGAGAUUUGAAUAUGUUUGAGUUUUCUUUUUCUUUCUUUUGUUGUGAUAAAAAAUAAAAAAGUUAUAGUUAUGUACUAAAGCAAGGAUAUUAGUAGCAAUGUUAUAGUAGAGAUUUGACAAUAAGGGAUUGCAUUAAGCGUCCCAUUCAAGGUUUUGA